AGUGAACGCUGGUGGUAGGCCUAACACAUGCAAGUCGAACGGCAGCACAGUAAGAGCUUGCUCUUACGGGUGGCGAGUGGCGGACGGGUGAGGAAUACAUCGGAAUCUACUUUUUCGUGGGGGAUAACGUAGGAAACUUACGCUAAUACCGCAUACGACCUACGGGUGAAAGCAGGGGAUCUUCGGACCUUGCGCGAUUGAAUGAGCCGAUGUCGGAUUAGCUAGUUGGCGGGGUAAAGGCCCACCAAGGCGACGAUCCGUAGCUGGUCUGAGAGGAUGAUCAGCCACACUGGAACUGAGACACGGUCCAGACUCCUACGGGAGGCAGCAGUGGGGAAUAUUGGACAAUGGGCGCAAGCCUGAUCCAGCCAUACCGCGUGGGUGAAGAAGGCCUUCGGGUUGUAAAGCCCUUUUGUUGGGAAAGAAAAGCAGCAGGUUAAUACCCCGCUGUUCUGACGGUACCCAAAGAAUAAGCACCGGCUAACUUCGUG
rnacentral:rRNA from 1 species